rnacentral:lncRNA from 1 species
GAGGUGCCCCAUUUGUUUUUCACCUUCCUCCUUUCUACUUCCUGUAACUCAGAUGUGAUGACUGACAUUCCAGCAGCCAACUCUCUUACUCACCUUGAGGAUGAAAGUUAACUACAAAGCAUGAGAAAGCAAAAAGAGGGGAGUUUCUUGGACCUUUAAUGAUUUUGUGUGACUGUCAAAGGAGCCAAGUACUACCUUUAUGUGUUUUAUGUGAGAAGAUCCAUCAGGACUUGAGUCUAAUUCCAACAAUAUAUGGCCAAGGAAAAUAUAGGUGUCUAUUUCUUUCUGCCGAAGGAUUGCUACAAUUAAAUAAGAUCAUAUACUGUCAUGAUGCAGAUGUGACCAUGACUCAGAACCACAAUGAGAUGCUGAAUUUUAUAGCAAUAGUAUUUGGUUUCACAAUGUGA